rnacentral:rRNA from 1 species
GCGUGGGGCUGCUAUAAUGCAGUCGAGCGGAGUUAUUUUGAAAGCUUGCUUUCAAAAUAACUUAGCGGCGGACGGGUGAGUAACACGUAGGCAACCUGCCCUCAAGACUGGGAUAACUACCGGAAACGGUAGCUAAUACCGGAUAAUUUCUUUUUUCUCCUGAGAGAAGAAUGAAAGGCGGAGCAAUCUGCUACUUGGGGAUGGGCCUGCGGCGCAUUAGCUAGUUGGUGAGGUAACGGCUCACCAAGGCGACGAUGCGUAGCCGACCUGAGAGGGUGAACGGCCACACUGGGACUGAGACACGGCCCAGACUCCUACGGGAGGCAGCAGUAGGGAAUCUUCCGCAAUGGGCGAAAGCCUGACGGAGCAAUGCCGCGUGAGUGAUGAAGGUUUUCGGAUCGUAAAGCUCUGUUGCCAGGGAAGAACGUCCGGUAGAGUAACUGCUACCGGAGUGACGGUACCUGAGAAGAAAGCCCCGGCUAACUACGUGCCAGCAGCCGCGGUAAUACGUAGGGGGCAAGCGUUGUCCGGAAUUAUUGGGCGUAAAGCGCGCGCAGGCGGUCAUUUAAGUCUGGUGUUUAAACCUUGGGCUCAACCUGAGGUCGCACUGGAAACUGGGUGACUUGAGUACAGAAGAGGAAAGUGGAAUUCCACGUGUAGCGGUGAAAUGCGUAGAUAUGUGGAGGAACACCAGUGGCGAAGGCGACUUUCUGGGCUGUAACUGACGCUGAGGCGCGAAAGCGUGGGGAGCAAACAGGAUUAGAUACCCUGGUAGUCCACGCCGUAAACGAUGAGUGCUAGGUGUUAGGGGUUUCGAUACCCUUGGUGCCGAAGUUAACACAGUAAGCACUCCGCCUGGGGAGUACGGUCGCAAGACUGAACUCAGAGAUUUUUUAGGGGA